AGAAAUCCAAAACACCAUCAGAUCCUU
rnacentral:piRNA from 1 species